rnacentral:sRNA from 1 species
UGACCACAGGCAUCGUUCGGGUUAGGCAGGCGUGCCUAAAAAGUAAUUAAAGCCUGCUGUUCUCUUUUCUUCUGUGGGUCCCGCCACUCCCCGUGAGCGGUGAAGAUUCUGAUAACGCGGAAUGGUCAUUCAGGCGUGCAAACCCUGCUAAGUGGUGUUUCCCGCACCCUGCCAUGGAAACGCUGCCCCCGCUUGCCGGCCCCUGCUGACCCCCUGACACUGUUGCCCCCUCUCUGCUGCAGCUGGAGCACUUCAGAAGUCAAGUCAUCAAGGCCACCUAUGGACGGGUGAAGCCGUUCCGGGACAAGCCCGUCACCGACCAACAGUUAAUAGAGAAAAUUACCCAGGUCACUGAGGACAACAUCAAUUUUCAGCAGAAAAAGUGGACCCUCCAGAAAGAGACCCAGCUGAGCAACUCCAAGCAGGAGGAGACCACCGAGAACAUCGAGAAGCUGAGGACGUCGCUGGACAGCUGCCAGGCUUGCAUGAAAAUAUCCUGUUGCAGCCAUGACCUGAAGAAGGAGGUCGACCUUCUUCAGCACCUCCAGGUGAGCCCACCUGUCUCGGGGCUCCAGAAGGUGGUGCUGGAUGUCCUGAGGCACGCGCUGUCCUGGCUGGAGGAGGUGGAGCAGCUCCUCCGGGACCUCGGGAUCCUGCCCUCCAGCCCCAACAAAGGUUACUGGGACUUUUUUUCUCACAUGGUUGCAUGACUCUAAAAUGUCGCGUUGAAUCUCAGCAUGAUGGGACAUCUGUUGAGGAAGUCUUCCUGGGUAUCUGGCCAAGUCUAUUCCCUUCUCUAGAACCCCCUGCUUCUCUGCUUGAGGCGUAAUUUUCCAUUAAAAAAAAAAAACACACACAUACAAGUGAGA